rnacentral:rRNA from 1 species
UGGCGAACGGGUGAGUAACACGUGGGUGAUCUGCCCCAAACUUUGGGAUAAGCCUGGGAAACUGGGUCUAAUACCGAAUAUGACCUGCCCUCGCAUGGGGGUUGGUGGAAAGCUCCGGCGGUUUGGGAUGGGCCCGCGGCCUAUCAGCUUGUUGGUGGGGUAAUGGCCUACCAAGGCGACGACGGGUAGCCGGCCUGAGAGGGCGACCGGCCACACUGGGACUGAGACACGGCCCAGACUCCUACGGGAGGCAGCAGUGGGGAAUAUUGCACAAUGGGCGCAAGCCUGAUGCAGCGACGCCGCGUGAGGGAUGACGGCCUUCGGGUUGUAAACCUCUUUCACCAGGGACGAAGCGAAAGUGACGGUACCUGGAGAAGAAGCACCGGCCAACUACGUGCCAGCAGCCGCGGUAAUACGUAGGGUGCGAGCGUUGUCCGGAAUUACUGGGCGUAAAGAGUUCGUAGGCGGUUUGUCGCGUCGUUCGUGAAAACUUGGGGCUUAACUCCNAGCGUGCGGGCGAUACGGGCAGACUUGAGUACUACAGGGGAGACUGGAAUUCCUGGUGUAGCGGUGAAAUGCGCAGAUAUCANGAGGAACACCGGUGGCGAANGCGGGUCUCUGGGUAGUAACUGACGCUGANGAACGAAAGCGUGGGUAGCGAACANGAUUAGAUACCCUGGUAGUCCACGCUGUAAACGGUGGGUACUNNUGUGGGUUCCUUUUCACGGGAUCCGUGCCGUAGCUAACGCAUUAAGUACCCCGCCUGGGGAGUACGNCGCAAGGCUAAAACUCAAAGGAAUUGANGGGGNCGCACAAGCGGCGGANCAUGUNGAUUAUUCGAUGCAACGCGAA